rnacentral:rRNA from 1 species
AGAGUUUGAUCCUGGCUCAGGACGAACGCUGGCGGCGUGCUUAACACAUGCAAGUCGAACGGAGGAUACAUUGAAACCUAGUGAUAUGUAACCUUAGUGGCGGACGGGUGAGUAACGCGUGGAUAACCUGCCUAUCUGACCGGGACAACACCUGGAAACGGGUGCUAAUACCGGAUACGCUCAUCUAGUCAAAAGAAUAGAUGAGGAAAAGGGGAAACCCGCAGACAGAUGGGUCCGCGUCCCAUUAGCUAGUUGGGGGUGUAAGAGACCCCCAAGGCGACGAUGGGUGGCCGGCCUGAGAGGGUGACCGGCCACACUGGAACUGAGACACGGUCCAGACUCCUACGGGAGGCAGCAGUGGGGAAUCUUCCGCAAUGGGCACAAGCCUGACGGAGCAACGCCGCGUGAGUGAAGAAGGCCUUCGGGUUGUAAAACUCUGUCAUCAGGGAAGAAGAAAGUGACGGUACCUGAGGAGGAAGCCCCGGCUAACUACGUGCCAGCAGCCGCGGUAAAACGUAGGGGGCGAGCGUUGUCCGGAAUUACUGGGCGUAAAGGGCGCGUAGGCGGUUAUCCAAGUCAGGGGUGAAAACCUUGGGCUCAACUCAGGGCCUGCCUCUGAAACUGGGUAACUUGAGGGCAGGAGAGGGGAGUGGAAUUCCCAGUGUAGCGGUGAAAUGCGUAGAUAUCACAAGGAACACCGAUUGCGGAGGCAGCUUACUAAACCGUUACUGACGCUCAUGCACGAAGGCGUGGGGGAUCAAACAGGAUUAGAUACCCUGGUAGUCCACGCAGUAAACGAUGAUUACUUGCUGUUUGCGAUACACAGAAAGCGGCGAAGCGAAAGCGUUAAGUAAUCCACCUGGGGAGUACGUUCGCAAGAAUGAACUCAAAGGAAUUGACGG